rnacentral:rRNA from 1 species
AGGACGAACGCUGGCGGCGUGCUUAACACAUGCAAGUCGAGCGGUAAGGCCUUUCGGGGUACACGAGCGGCGAACGGGUGAGUAACACGUGGGUGAUCUGCCCUGCACUUCGGGAUAAGCCUGGGAAACUGGGUCUAAUACCGGAUAUGACCUCCUAUCGCAUGGUGGGUGGUGGAAAGAUUUAUCGGUGCAGGAUGGGCCCGCGGCCUAUCAGCUUGUUGGUGGGUAAUGGCCUACGAAGGCGACGACGGGUAGCCGACCUGAGAGGGUGACCGGCCACACGUGGGACUGAGACACGGCCCGAGACUCCGUACGGGAGGCAGCAGGUAGGGAAUAGUUGCGACAAGUGGGACGAAAGCCGUAGAUGACGAGACCGGAACGCCGGCGGU